GCUGAGCUCCAGCUCCAGAGGGGUGGAGUUAGAGCUGGAGCUGUGCCAAACAGGCCGUAAUGUGCCCAUGCGUUGCAACGGCCCGUAAUGUGCCCAUGCGUUGCAACAGAAUCUGGAGUAAUGCGGGAUCUGCACGCAGACACGCAGUAGGAGGGAGGAGGAACACUGCAACUUUAAAUUAGUAGAGAAAAAAAUACAUAAGAUUGAGUAACACUGCAAAUUCGCAUGUAUUGGUUGAAAACAAUGGAAUUUGAUUAAAUCUGGAGCAAAAGGUUUUAACAAAUUCGAAACUGUACGGUUUCAACAAAUUUUCAGCCGGAUUGCCCACAAGAAAAGUAAGCUUAAAAUUUUAAGGGCAAGAAAAAAUAUGAGUUUGCGCACAACUGCAAAAUAUUACUCCCUCCAUCCCUUAAUACAAGGGAUUUUGAUAUUUUGUUGUCCUGUUUAUGCACACGUCUUAUUUAAAAAAAUUGUGCAAAUAUAAAAAACAAAAAGUUGUGCUUUAGAUAAUAAAGUAAGUCACAAAUAAAAUUCCAAAACUUUUUGAAUUAGACGAAUUGUCAAACAGUGCAAGCAAAAAUAUCAAAAUACCUUAUAUUAAGUGACGGAGGGAGUAGUACACAUGUUAAUUGAAAACAAUGAAAUUUGAGCAGAUCUGAAACAAAAGAUUUCAGCAAAUUCGAAACUUGCUGUUUGAAAAUAUUUCCAACCGUAAUUAUUUGAGAAUCACACGAGCGGCAGGCACACUGUAGAAUUUACAAGAGAAACGAGUCGCUGAAUAAAAAAGUAGUGAAAGUGCAAUAUAAAUCAUCGAAGACAUUCAAGCUUCAAGCCCAGCAAAAUUAGAUCAGAACAUAAAAAUUCAGACGAUAAAUAGAUGAGUUUUCCCAUCGAAUUGUUGACAACGACAACAGAUGACACAAUUUUUCAGGCCAUCAAUCAGUGACAAAAAAAAAUAACAAAACAAAAAAGAGGGUUGUCUGAAAGAACAGAAAAUAAAUAUGCCUUCUGGAGCAUUUCCCAAAAGUACCAGCAGGCAAAUAGUACAACUUUCAGACAAGCAAGUGCAACAAACAAACAACGAGGAAAUCAAUAUACACUAGAAAUUUAAAUUAGAAAAUCUUUACGGAAUGGCUCAGAUUUCACCCCCAUUAUGAAUCACCAAAGUUGGAUCAUGCCACUGUAGCAGAACAAUGCAAUAGAAUCUGUCUCAAUCUCUCUCUAUAUAUAUAUAUAUAUAUCUAUGUGCAUGAACCAUCUAAUGGGAUUGGCAUGUUCAUGAUAGAAUUAGAUCAUAGAAGUAAUAAAAACCUCAGUCCGCCACCACCACCGCCACCGCCAGCAAAUAGCCGCAAACUGGUAACCUGCCGCAAAGCAAGCCCUCCUAGUUUGGCGACCAGCUGAUCAAUUUAGCAAGGAACCAACUCAGGAGGUGUUAAUAGAUCUCCCAACACCGACAAAGGGGCAGCCAAAUUCAUCACAGCCAUUCAACAGGUAACAUAGAAAGGAAAUGCAACAAAACAAAAGGUAAAGUGUUUUGCUGAGAAAUCAAUUUGAAGCACUGCAUUAGUGUCAACAAAAGGAACUGUUGCCAUUUGUUCACCCAGGUUAUCACAGCAUAUACCAAAAAUACAUGAACUAAGUUCAAACAAGGCAUUAUAUGGUCCCUUUAUCCAUGACCAAAUGCUGAUUUCCAUAGCACGCAAACAAAUCAAACAUGUGAUGUAGGGCAAUUGUAACACUAUUACACAAAGAUGUGAAGCCAACCUUCAGUAAAUGCUAAAAGGAAAUAAAGCAAGAAAUCCAAAACAAUUCAAUUUCACACAGGUCAACAGAUACAAUCAGAACUAGAAGGGAACAAAUGAUUCAGAGCUCCCAUUCAAAAAAUCACCAUGGCAGAGUGAGCUCAGUUUCACCUUUCCUCCAUCGUACAAAACCCGAUUUUCACAUCUCUUGCUGCACAAUCUACUCAUACUAAUGUAAGUGUAGCUGCACUGGUUAUCACUCGUCAGUCAUCAGAGUGACCAUCCUAGGCACAGAAUCACUAACAUUAGUGGAUGGUUGAACAUCAUUGCCCCUCAUCCACAUUCCCACAUUCCAUUCCAUGUUUCCAACAUUCUGGAGGUUUCAGAAUCCCACAAGGAACACAGGCAGCAGAACACACCAUAUGUAGAGAUGAGCAAGAGGAGAUUACAGUGGUGACAGCAGGAGUAGCAACUAGUAAAUCAAAACCAUCAGCACCAUACCAAUCCAUCCAUCAGAUUUUAAGAUCAGAUCAGAUCAGAUCUCGCAACUACCCGCUAAAUCCUGACACGGAAGCCACACCAGACUCCACCGUGGAUUCCCAGCCUUUGCUGCUAUGAAUCCAAGGCAAUGGAGCAGCAGAGGCGGCACCCUGGAGGUGAGAACUGACACAGAGACCGGUUGGAAGUAGGGCUGUCAAAACUCAGCUGGAGCUCAAAACAAAUACUCUUGGAGAAGAGUAUUUCAGCGCAGAAGCGCUAAUUUAGUUUAUGAUUUUGGGUUUGGAUGGCGUGAACCUUCUCUUCUAGAUCUAGAAGUUGUUUUUCUCCUCAGUACUAAUAACACAGUUUAUUCCCCAAAAAUAAUCAUGGACGAGGGAUGAAAAAGUGCAUGUGAACACGUACUGUAUGGGUGCUCACCUGCGAGCGAGCGAGGAUUCAGCGGAAGGAAGCAGCGGGAUACCAGAACAGCUGCUCAUGGGGUGGAGAUCACCGCUAGCCAUGUACCUGUAGUCCUUUACGGCGGGAGCAUGCACGUGGCAAUUGCACAGGGCUCGUGAGAGUCACCAUCCAAUGUCCCCCGUGUCCACAGAUGAGUGGCUCACUGAUCAUCUGGGCAAAUGAUUAAGAGUUCUCAUUCAAACAAUUCACCAUGGAAGUGAGUGAUAGGCAGCAUUAAGUACUCAAUACUCAUUAACUUCAGCUUUAAAUCAGCAUGUAGCUAAUUUUCCAACACAGCAAACUGACCACUUGUAAGUUGGCAAUUAGCUUCAAAAAAUAACAGAGAAGUGCUAUGUUAAAUUUACCAGCACAGUAGCAAUAUGAAUAGUGUAAUGGCAUUGAACGGGCUCAGUUUCGCCUUUCCUCCUCAAACCUCGUGCUCCACAAUCUACUCAUACUAAUAUAAGUGGAGCUGCACUGCUUGUCACUCAUCAGUCAUCGGAGUGACCAUCCUAGGCACAGAACCACUAAGAGCAGGUACAAUAGCAGACUAUAAGCCAACUAUAAACGCAUAUCGAGAAGAUAAAUGAGGAGAGAUAAGAGCAGCGGGCAACAGAUUUGUAGCCAGCUGCAGCACAGACUAGGUGUAAUAUAUGUAUGACAGGUGGGACCAUGUAUUACUUGUGUAGGAGUAUAAGUUUAUAGGUAACUGUUGUAUAAAUUGGCUAUUAAAUUGACUAUAUACUAUUUGGAGCUAGUAGUUGGCUAUACUAUUAAACUUGCUCUAACACUAGUGAAUGGUUGAACUGACUCCAAGAGAGGUGAGAGUUGGUUCUUUAAAACCACAACUGCCUCAGAAAAGGUUUAACAUCAUCACCAUCAUCAUUGCAUUCCGUUGGAACAAGACCAAGUCCAUUGUAACAGGGAAGUGAAGAAGAAAAUGCUGGCAUAGACACACUAUUCACAUAGAAAAGGUACUCCAUCCGUCCCAAAAAAUAAGGUACUUUGACCGGAUGUGACACAUCCUAGUAACAAGGGUUCCUUUGGAACACAGGAUUUUCCCAUGAAUUAGUUCAAUACCCGUGAAAAUCCUACAAAAAUCCGCCAUUAUAUAGGAGGCCUAAUUGGGCUCAGAUUCGCCUUUACUCAACCGUAAAGAUCCAACAGCCACAUAUCUUGCUCCACCAUCUAUCCAUCAUAAUGUAAGUGGAUUUGCCCUGGUUAUCAUUAACAGAAUGACCAUCCUAGGUGCAAGAACCACCUAACAUUAGUGAGUGGAUAGGUUGCCAGAGAUGAUAGGAUCAGGUCCAAUUGACACCCACAGCUGCCUUGAUUCUUCAAUGGCAGGAUUGUCAGAAAAGGUUGAUCAUCAUUGCCCUUCAUCCACAUUCCUUUCCAUGUUUCCAACAUUCUAGAGACACACAGAUGAGAAAACCAUACAUAUAUACUCCCUCCAUUCCAAAAUAUAAGCAGAAUGUACGUACAUUGCCAACGAGAUCAGCUCGCAAGCUCUCUCUCGCGCGCAAGCGCGCAGCGAGAGUGAGGGGGGAUGGCAGUGUAUAGAGCAAAAUGGUGACUAAAGAGUGAAAAAUCCAUAACAGCGGCUCAGAUUUCACAUUGCCCGACCAGCCCCAGGCAGGAAACUGACACGGAAUAAGUCUAUUUUAUGUCCCUCAACUGAUGUAAAUGGAUCUGCCUGGUUAUCAUUUAUCAGAAUGACCAUCCUAGGUGCAAGAACCACCUAACAUUAGCAGGUGAAUAUGUUACAGAAGGGCAGAUUUGGUUUAGGGUUUGGAGUUUGCGUAUAGCGAACUGUGAUCACGCAUGCACAGAUCUAGAGAAGUUAAAGGUUAAGGCAAAGAGAGAAAGGUGUGGGUACAGAGGGAUGACAGAGGAUGCACGUAUGGAUGCUCACCAGCGAGUAUGCAGCAGUACUAUGGCACCACUGCUCACGGGAUGGAGAUCAGGGACCAGGGGCGCCAUGGACCUCAGGCAGCGAGGGAGCUCCCAAUGGCUGUCAAAUGUUCUUGCCGCGAUUUCCGGCAACAUACCAUGGCACUCCCAACAUCAAGCCUAGGCACGCAGACACCCCAUCCCCCCCCCUCCUCGACCUGUGAGCAGGAGGUGUCUCCACCACACGAGGGUAGCAACCAGCAGCAGCAGCAGCAACAACAGUAUAUAUCAGAUCAUCACAGCAACAGCAGCUGAAUGCCAAGGAGAGCUCAAGCCAGUGGAAACAGCGAGCUUCACAAAUUCGAGAUCGAAAGUCCAAACCAGCCAUUCAUCACUAAAAGGAGCUCAGGCCUCAGAAUUCUGACGACCAAACCCUACCCGUCACCACGGCAUCGAAGCCACAUCAGACACCACCAACCUACGGUUCCCGGCCCCCAACACCGCCGAACGGGCCAUGGAUGAGCAUCCUGGCAGCCAUGAGCGUGCCAAAGGCGGCCCCAAAGAUCCCUUGAACACAUGUGAGUGAGUUGCCACUUUGUCAAAGGGGGUGUUGCGAGAUAGACAUAUUACAGUUCUGUCAAAGAGUGGCAGAUAGUUACAAUGGCAUGGAUCCAAUAGCAAAUAGUUAAAUUUCCCCUUAUUUUCUGCUUGCCCUUAUAGCUCAGUUUGCAGUAGUGCGUCGAACUGUACACGCACGCCCGCGAGAGAACACAGUAAGGAGAGGAGAGAAUGGAAGGAGGAGAAGGGGUGGUGUUGGUGGUGGCGGCGGCGGAGGAGGAUGGCAUUCUGCAUUCCCAGGUUUCCAACGAAUCCACUCUUUUCUGAUGGUAGAUGUGCAAUUUUCUCGCCACGUUUCCAACAAGGUUGAGACAGAUGUGGCUUAUAGACAUUAGUUGGCUGUACUAUUAAACUUGCUCUAAUCUUCGGUUCCCUGCCCCCACCACCGCCUGCACAGCCAUGGAUGAGCAUCCAAGCAGCCAUACGGGCAUGGCGGAGGAGGCGGCCCCGAAUAAGAUCCCUUGGAACACAAGUGAGUUGCCACUUUGUUCAGAGAGGGUGUUGUGAGAGAGAAAGAUGAGAUUACGGAUAUAUCAAACAGUGGCAAGUAGUUAUAAUUUGCAAUUGAUCCAAUUAACCCAUAGUUUUUUUUCCCCAGUGCUCUUCUCUUCUAGCUCAGCGUGUGUAGAGCGUGGAACUGUACACACACGCAAGCGUACACUGCGAGGAGAGGAGAGGAGAAACUGGAAGGAGGAGAAAAUGCAACUGAAACAAAUCGAAAUCUGGUGAUGGUGAUGGCAAGCAUACCAAACCAAAUCAAAACUGCAACUGAAACAAACACGUACGAAUCCUCCAUUGCCGCGGUGGUGGCUCAGAUCUCGCCGUGGCAGCGAGGCCACCCGCCACUCCAACGACGGGAGGCCGCACCGCGCCCCCACGACCAACGGAUCCCUAACCCGCACCAACCCGCACCACCGCCGGAUCCGCUGCGGCGGCGGCUCCAGGGGGAACAUCCCAAGCCGGCCGCAGCAUCGCCGCGCGGAGGUAGGGGUAGCACCGGUGGAUGGAUCGGGGGGAUGCAAGAUGGGGGAUGAGUUGUAUCUGGUUUUGCGGUUCAAGGACGAUUUUGUAACUCGAUGACAAGUUGAGGGACCUUCGGUGUACUUUUUCCUUUCCCGAGACAAGUACUGUCCCAUGCGUUGCAACGGGAUCUGGAGUAAUGCGGGAUCUGCCCGCAGACACGCAGUAGGAAACGGAGGUAGACUGCGUCUUUAAAUUAUUAGAGAAAAAAAACAUAAGAUUGGGUAACACUGCAAAUUCGCAUGUAUUAAUUAAAAACAAUGAAAUUUGAUUAAAUCUGAAGCAAAAGGUUUUAACAAAUUUAAAACAGUACGGUUUCAACAAAAAUUUCAGCCGGAUUGCCCGCGAAAAAAAUAAGCUUAAAAUUUUCAGGGCACGUAAGAAACAUGAGUUUGCACAACUGCAAUAUAGUGCACUUGUUAAUAAAAAACAAUGAAAUUUGAUCAGAUCUAAAACAAAAGCUUUUCUCAAAUUCGAAACUAUGGGGUUUGAACAAAUUUUCAACCGUAACUAUUUGAGAAUCGCACUAGGGGCAGGCACACUGUAGAAUUUACAAGAGAAAACGAGAUGCUGAAGAAAAAAAGUAGGUAGGGAAAGUACAGUACAAAUCACCGAAGCCACUGAAGCCAGAACCACGCUGCAGGCCUGCAAUGGCUGCUUGGCUAUCGCUCAAGCUUCAAGCCCAACAAUAUUAGAUCAGAACAUAAAAAUUUAGACAAGAUAAAUAGAUGAGUUUUCCCAUCGAAUUGUUGACAACGACAACAGAUGACACAACUUUCCCGACCGUUUUCAUCCCCACUAUAGUUCGAUUCCCAUGAAAAUGCUCCAAAAAUAUCCUCCUUUGAAACACAGGAUAUUCACAGAAAAUAGUUCAAUUCCCGUGAAAAUGCUCCAAAAAAAUCCUCCACUCCAAAAGAGGCCUAAGUGGGCUCAGAUUUGCCUUUGAUCAAUCAUACAGACCCAACCCCUAUAUAUCUUGCUCCACAAUCUACUCAUCCUAAUGUAAGUGGACCUUCCUUGGUUAUCAUUAACAGAAUGACCAUCCUAG
rnacentral:lncRNA from 1 species